UCCCCGAUAGCUCAGCUGGCAGAGCAGGUGACUGUUAAUCACCUGGUCCUUGGUUCGAAUCCGAGUCGGGGAGCCA
rnacentral:tRNA from 1 species